rnacentral:rRNA from 1 species
AUGACCACCUUCUUCUUCGGACGGUCACCUCUGUCGGUCUCUGAUGACUCUAUCGUCCUUACGAUGUCCAUGCCUUCAAGAACCUGGCCAAAGACAACGUGUCUCCCGUCCAGCCACGGUGUCUGCAAGCAAGGAAGUAAACAAUUAAUUACCUUGACUGUGCAGAUGAAGAAUUGGCUGCCGUUGGUGUUCGGUCCAGCAUUCGCCAUGCUGAGCACUCCAGGUCCAGUAUGA